UCUGCCCCUACAGGCGUUGCAGCCGUGACUGGUGUGCCACGGUUGUGUCAAUAGGCGGCAGAGAGGAACAGGCUAUGUCUACGCUCAGUGUUCUGCAACCUGUGAGCACUCAGAAUGAUUAAUAGCCUGACAGGU
ensembl:snoRNA small nucleolar RNA SNORA17